CGCCACCAUGCCUGGCUAAUUUUUGUACUUUUAGUAGAGGCAGGGUUUCACCAUGUUGGCCAGGCUGGUCUCGAACUCCUGACCUCAAGUGAUCCGCCCGCCUCGGCCUCCCAAAGUGCUGGGAUUACAGGAGUGAGCCCCUGUGCCAAGCAAUCUAUUUCUAUGUGAAGGAGAAUACACUGGGUUGUUACACAGGGGCAUAAAAGGUGAAAUUAUAUCUUAGGAUUCACAGUAGAGAGGAAAAAAAGCUAACUCUGCCAACUAAAAUUAUAGAAGGUCUUGAAAACAAAUCUCAUCAUUUCAUGAAAACAAAUCUCAUCAUUUCAUUAUAUGUUUCUAAAUUGCAGGCUGGGUGCAGUGGCUCACGCCUGUAAUCCCAGCACUUUGGGAGGCUGAGGUAAGAUCACUUGAGGCCAGGAGUUUUGAGACUAGACUGGGCAACAAAGUGAGACCCCUGUCUCUACAAAAAAAUUAAAAAAUAAAAAUUAGCCGAGUGUGGUGGCACAUACCUAGAGUACUCUAGCCUGGGUGACAGAGCAAGACUGUCCCUAAAAUAAAAUAAAUUAAGAGCAGACUCUACAGGCUCAGAGUAGACAAGGUCCUGGUAUCUAAUAGCGUACUUGGCACAUGGGCCUUCAAUGAACUAUUUUUUUUUUUUUUUAGAUGGAGUCUCGCUCUGUUGCCCAGGCUGGAGCACAGUAGUGCAAUCUCGGCUCACUAAAAGCUCCGCCUCCCGGGUUCAUGCCAUUCUCCUGCCUCAGCCUCCCGAGUAGCUGGGACUACAGGCACCCGCCACCACGCCUGGCUAAUUUUUUUUUUCAGUGGAGACGGCAUUUCACCGUGUUAGCCAGGAUUGUUUCGAUCUCCUGACCUCGUGAUCCGCCCACCUUGGCCUCCCAAAGUGCUGGGAUUACAGACGUGAGCCACCGCGCCCAGCCAAUGAACUAUUAUUGAAUGAAUACCUCAUUUUCCCUCUUGGCAUCACACCUGAGAUUGCCUGAUUUGUACGUUGUCCUCAGAGCCAGCAUUUAUUACAUUGCAUUUGAGAGUCGCUAAGACAAGGCAUUUUCCACACGCUUUUCCUGUUUUUUAAGUACCUUCCAACCUUGAUUUGCUGAUAACAGCAGUUGGCUUGUAUUUUAUGCUGGCCUUUGCAAUGAUACAGCAAAUGGAAUCUGGAAUCUCCGGAAUCGAUGUCAAUAUGAAUAGUUUCUAAGUGGAACUGCCAUACAAUGAGGAAGUUAUCACUUACCCACAAGAGGUCUGUGACUUUGGAAUCAAGUAUAUAUAAGAAGUACUUUUUACACUGUAAUGUGCUACUCAAAUGUUUUGUUGUUAUUAUUAUAUCAGAAAACAACCCACAGGACCUUAUAAAUAAUAAUGAUUCCAGUCAUGUUCAUCCUAUGUGACAAAGCAAUGGUUCUCAACAUUUUUGGUCAGCUAAUCACUUUGGCAAAAUAUCUCAAAACUUCGUAUCUCAAUUACCCAUACUACUCAGUCCAAGAGUUUUGCCAGAAUAAAUAGGAAGAGUAGAGCUACUUUUAAUUUCUGGUUUCCAUUAGCCUUCUGCUGGGAAAGAGAAAAGAGAUAGAGUAGAAAAGAGUUUCAAGUACAAGGGUCCAUGACCUCCAAAGUCAACUACGUUGAGAUUCUUGAUGGUGAAGCAACAAGACAAGAAGCCAGGCUAAACAUUGGCGACCCAGAAAAGGAGAUAGAAAGGCCAGAGAAUGCAAGACCUGCCACCCCGUGCCUGCUUUCACCUCCUCAUCUGUACUUGCUGGUGUUUCUUUUUUUUUUUUUUUUUUGAGAUGGAGUCUCGCAUUGUCGCCCAGGCUGAAGUGCACUGGUGUGAUCUCGGCUCACUGCAAGCUCCGCCUCCUGGGUUCACGCCAUUCUCCUGCCUCAGCCUCCCGAGUAGCUGGGACUACAGGCAUGAGCCACCACGCCUGGCUAAUUUUUGUACUUUUAGUAGAGGCAGGGUUUCACCAUGUUGGCCAGGCUGGUCUCGAACUCCUGACCUCAAGUGAUCCGCCCGCCUCGGCCUCCCAAAGUGCUGGGAUUACAGGCAUGAGCCACCGUGCCCGGCCACUUGCUGGUGAUUCUGAAGGAUCUGUCCUUUGCGGUGUCCCUCCUUGCUCUCCAGAAUCUUCGCUUCAACUCCCAUCUAAGAUGAAAGGAGCCAACUAAGCUCACUUCGGGGCAGCUGGUCAUUGCCUUUAGGGAACACGAGAUUAGCGUUGCCAGAUAUCUGACCUUUUGGCAGAAGUUAAAAUUCUUGAUAUUUUUGAGAAUCUUCUAAUUUUCAACUGUUGGCAACUUAUUUAAAAGAUUGUUCUGGCCAAAUGAAACCCAUUAGCAGGAUGGAUUUUGCCCACAGACCACUGGUGACUGAUGACACAUUUUCAAGCUUUACCCCUCACGUCUUUCUCUCUCGUUUUUUUUUUUUUGUUUGUUUGUUUGUUUUAAGAUGGAGUUUCACUCUUGUUGCUCAGGCUGGAGUGCAAUGGCACAAUCUCGGGUCACUGCAAACUCCGCCUCCCAGGAUCAAGCAAUUCUCCUGCCUCAGCCUCCCAAAUAGCUGGGAUUACAGGCAUGUGCCACCACGCCCAGCUAAUUUUGUAUUUUUUUUUUUUAGUAGAGAUGGGGUUUCACCAUGUUGGCCAGGCUGGUUUCUAACUCCUGACCUCAGAUAAUCCACCCGCUUUGGCCUCCCAAAGUGCUGGGAUUACAGGUGUGAGCCACCACACCCAGCCCUCACCUCCUUUUUGAAUUUGGGACUUGUAUCUUUACUUAAAAUUUGGAUAGAUUAAACCGGGCAUUUCCACACACUGUUCAAAUACAACUCAUUUAAACUACAAUGUACUUUACCAAAUAUACAAACAAGCAAACAAAACCAGCUUAUCAUUUUAAAGUCUGUGUCAGCCACCACUCAUCUGUUAGUCCAGAUUAGAAGCCUUGGAGUCAUCUGUGGUCCUUCUCUCUACUUUGUCUCUCACCUGCAAUUCCUUCCUUAAGCACCAAAUGCCAGGUAUUAAGCUAAACACUGAGGAUACAAAGCUUAGCCAGUGGUGGUGUGGGUGCUUGUACUCCCAGCUUACUUAGGAGGCCAAGGCAGGAGGAUUGCUUGAGCCCAACAGGUCAAGUCUGCAGUGACCCAUGAUCGUGCCACUGCACUCCAGCCUGGACAACAGAGUGAAACCCUGUCUCUAAAAAGUAAAAUAUAAAAAUAAAACUAAAGUUGAAAAGACAGCCCAGGCCAGGCUCUGCAGCUGUUAAUGUCUAUGGGUAGAAGGCAACAAGUAUUUACAAAACAGUAUUUACCAAGUAUUAUAACAGACAUAUACAAAAUGCCACAUGAUCUUGUUUAAUCCACACAAUAAUCUUGUGAAAUAGUGUCUUUUUAAUAACAGCUUUAUUGAGAUAUAAUUGACAUACCAUAAAAGCCACCCUUUUAAAAUGUACAAUUCAGUAGGUUUUAGUACAUUCAUAGUGCCAUGACAUCAAAUUAGUUGUUAUCACUAAUUCCAGAACAUUGGGUUUUUUAAAAAUUUUGAUAGAGAUGAAGUUUCACUGUGUUGCUCAGGCUGGUCUCAAACUCCUGAGUAAAGUGAUGCAAAGUGCCUUGGCCUCCCAAAGUGCUGAGAUUACAGGUGUGAGCCAUGGUGGCCAGCCCAGAACAUUGUUUUGAGCAGUUUUAAGUUCAUAGCAAAAUUGAGCAGAAAGUACAGAGUUCCCAUUCAUUCCCUGCCCCCACACAUGCAUAAACAAGGAUCAGCAUCUCCACUAGAGUGAUAGAUUUGUUACAAUCAAUGAACUUUCACUGAUUCAUCAUUACCCCCAAAAGUUCAUAAUUUACAUUAGGGUUCACUCUUGGUGCCAUACAUUAUAUGGGUUUGGACAAAAGUAUAACGAUAUGUAUCCACUUUUGUAGUAUCAUACAGAGUGGUUGUCACUGCCCCCAAAAUCUCUGUGCUCUGCCUAUUCAUCACUCUCUCCUAAUCCUUGGCAACCUGGACUUCUCCGUAUUUUUGCUUUUCCAGACUGUUAUGUACAGUAUUUGGAAUCACACAGUAUGUAGCCUUUUCAGAUUGGCAUCUUUCACUUAGUGAUACGCGUUUAUGGGUCCUCCAUGUCUUUUCAUGUCUUGAUAGUUCAUUUUUUAGUGCUGAAUGCUAUUCCAUUGUCUGAAUGUACUACAGUUUAUCCAUUCACCUGCUGAAGGACAUCUUGGUGGCUUCCAAGUUUUGACAAUCAUGAAUAAAGCUGGUAUAAGCAUCUGUGUGCAGGUUUUUUGUGGACAUAUUUUCAGUUCAUUUGGUUAAAUAACCACAAAGCAAAUUGCUGGUUCAUAUGGUAGGAGUAUAUUUAAUUUUUGUAAGAAACUGCCAAAUUGUCUUCCAAAGUGUCUGUACCAUUUGCCCUUCCCCUGAGCAAUGAAUGAGAGUUCCUGUUGCUCAACAUCCUUGUCAGCAUUUGAUAUUGUCAGUGUUUUAGAUUUUGGCCAUUCUAAUAGAUGUGUAAUAGUAUCUCAUUUUUGUUUUAAUUUGCAAUUCCCUAAGGGCAUAUGAUAUAUAGUUUGGAUAUUUGUCGCCACUCAAAUCUCAUGUUGAAAUGUAAUCCCUAAUGUUGGAGGUGGGGCCUGGUGGAGGGGUUUGGGUCAUGGGGCAGAUCCCUCAUGGCUUGGUGCUGUCCUUGCAAUGGUGAGUGAGUUAUCAUAAGAUUGGUUGUUUAAGCGUGUGGCACCUUCCCCCUACACUGUCUUGCUCCUGCCUUCACCAUGUGAUGAUGUGCCUGCUCCUGCUUCACCUUCCAUCAUGAGUGAAAGCUCCCCGAGGCCUCCCCAGAAGCUGAUAAGAUAGAUGCUGGUGCCAUGCUUGUACAGCC
rnacentral:lncRNA from 1 species